rnacentral:lncRNA from 1 species
UAAAGUAGAAGUCCUCUAAUGGUGAUCCACAUAGGAUUGAUCAAGGUCCUUUCCAACUCGACAUGGUAUUGUAGCCUUCUUCAUAAGUGCAUUGCUGAUUGUCCUUCGCAAGAACAGGUUGCACCAACACAUGUAUGCCUUCAUGACCUUUACUAGUAUCACUUUAGAAAUUCUUUCCCAAAGUAUCAUUCCACACAAAAAUAAAUCAGGUAUUCAACACUUGAACAACUUGAUUUUUUGGACAAGCAUCACAUGCUUUCCAAUUUCCAUCUCCCUUUUUUUUCUAUUUUUUCUCCAUCUCUUCUUACAUUUUUUCCUAGACUUUUUUUUGUCUUUAUUCUCUCAUUC